CUCAGGGAUUCUGAGAUUGCUUCAGGAAGGGUGUGAUUGCAGGGUUUUAUUAUAGACCUGGACUGAGCAAUUGGUGUUAUCAGAUGGAGACCUUCUUGGUGCUUGUGCUUCUCAGGUGGGCAGUGUUGUUGCACUGAGUUGCACUGCAGCAUGUUUUCAGAAGUGGAAAAUCCUACCAUGACAAAGCCCAUGCAGAUGUGGGGAUGUAUGGGGUACUCUUCAAGCAAGUUUCUGUACUGAUUCAGAGUUGGAACCAUGUUUCUCGGUGGAUGGCACACACUGUCACAAACCAGUAAGAAGCAGCAAACUUAAUAUAUGGUGCCUAAAGGGCAUCACCCUUUUGAAGUAACAUGCAUCUUAUCUGGUGGCACCUGGCACCAGAGGAGCUUGCCU
rnacentral:lncRNA from 1 species